rnacentral:rRNA from 1 species
UACGAAGGGGGCUAGCGUUGCUCGGAAUUACUGGGCGUAAAGGGCGCGUAGGCGGAUAUUUAAGUUGGGGGUGAAAUCCCGGGGCUCAACCUCGGAAUUGCCUUCAAAACUGGAUAUCUUGAGUUCGGGAGAGGUGAGUGGAACUCCGAGUGUAGAGGUGAAAUUCGUAGAUAUUCGGAAGAACACCAGUGGCGAAGGCGGCUCACUGGCCCGAUACUGACGCUGAGGCGCGAAAGCGUGGGGAGCAAACAGG